rnacentral:rRNA from 3 species
CCUACGGGAGGCAGCAGUAGGGAAUCUUCCGCAAUGGGCGAAAGCCUGACGGAGCAACGCCGCGUGAGUGAUGAAGGGUUUCGGCUCGUAAAACUCUGUUAUUAGGGAAGAACAUAUGUGUAAGUAACUGUGCACAUCUUGACGGUACCUAAUCAGAAAGCCACGGCUAACUACGUGCCAGCAGCCGCGGUAAU